AUCACUAAGCGGAGGAAAAGAAACUAACAAGGAUUCCCUCAGUAACGGCGAGUGAAGCGGGAAGAGCCCAGCACCGAAUCCCUCGCCUCGACGGCGACGGGAACUGUGGUGUUAGGGAGCGCCGAUGGGUCGAGCGGCGGGCGUCCGAGUCCUCCUGAUCGGGGCUUCGCCCGCAGCGGGUGUCAGGCCUCUACGGCCCCUGCCGCCGGCCCUCCGAGCCUCCUAGGAGUCGGGUUGUUUGGGAAUGCAGCCCUAAGCGGGUGGUAAACUCCAUCUAAGGCUAAAUACUGGCACGAGUCCGAUAGCGGACAAGUACCGUGAGGGAAAGUU
rnacentral:rRNA from 1 species